rnacentral:tRNA from 1 species
GCCUGGGUGGCGGAACUGGUAGACGCAAGGGACUUAAAAUCCCUUGAGGCCCUGUCCUCGUACGAGUUCAAGUCUCGUCCCGGGCACCA